UUUUCGUGCUUCCGUGGGACGGCGAGGGUAGGCGGCGAGAUGUGGCGGAUCUGAGAAGAGAUAGAAGAAGGCGGUUAGGAAGUGGCGGACGAGAUCGCAUCAGAUGUCCAAAGGGAGCGUGGUGGUCAUCGACAAUGGGGCGGGGCUGUGCAAGGCGGGGUUUGGCGGAGAUAGGGAUCCCGUGGCCAUCGUCCCCAACUGCGUCGGAAAGUCUCCUGCCUCCAAGAAAUGGCUGGUGGCGGACGAACUCCGUGCCGCCGACACCGACGUCACUUCCGUGUCCCUCCGGCGGCCCUUCGAUCGCGGCUACCUCGUCAAUCCGGAGCUCCAGAGGGAGGUGUGGGACAGAGUGAUCCGAACCCUCCUUCGCGUCGACCCUAACCAUUCCUCGCUCCUCCUCGUGGAGCCUCUCUUCAACCCUUCUUCUGUCCAGCGCGUCACCGAUGAGAUCGUGUUCGAGGAUUUCGGCUUCCGCUCACUCUGCGUCGCCGAUUCCCCCUCCCUCGUCCACCUCUUCGAGGCGAGUCGCGGCCAUUCCCACUGUCAUCAGACUCAAUGCAGCCUCGUGGUCGACUGCGGCUUCUCCUUCACCCACGCCGCCCCCGUGCUCCAAAACUUCACGCUCAACUACGCGGUCAAGCGCCUCGACCUCGGUGGCAAGGUCCUGACCAACUACCUCAAGGAGUUAGUCUCGUACCGCUCCGUCAACGUCAUGGAUGAGACCCUCAUCAUUGACCACGCCAAAGAGAAGCUCUGCUUCGUCUCUCUCGAUGUGUCACGGGAUCUCCGCCUUGCAAGGAGAGGUGGAAAACAGAACCCAUUCAAGUGCACGUAUGUUCUCCCUGAUGGUAUUGAACAUACUAAAGGCUAUGUCAAAGAUUUUGAUGAAGCACAGAGGUACCUUUCUCUGCCGUAUGAGACAUUGCCCACAGUUUCAGGACAAAAGGAAGAGCUGACACUCUCACCCUCCAAUUUGGAAAAACCAGAACAGAGGAUGAAAGUUGAUUUGUUGCAAAAUGAAUUUACCCUGACAAAUGAACGCUUCCUUGUGCCUGAGAUGCUAUUCCAUCCUGCUGAUUUAGGUAUUAACCAAGCAGGAUUAGCUGAAUGCAUUGUCCGAGCGGUUAAUUCUUGUCAUCCUCUUCUUCAUCCUAUACCCUAUGAAAGGGUGUAUGUUGUUUUUGCCUUUUUGUGAGUCAUGUUGCAGCAUUCUACUGACUGGUGGAAGCACACUAUUUCCUCGUUUUGUGAAAAAUGGAGCUUCGUCCUCUUGUUCCCGGUGAUUAUCAAGUGAAGAUUACUUCACAAGAAGAUCCUAUUCUAGGCAUAUGGAGAGGUGGUUCACUGUUAGCAUGGAGCCCUGAUUUUGAGCCAAUGUGCGUGAGCAAAUCUGAUUAUGAAGAGCUUGGUUCAACUCGUUGUCGACGCCGCUUUUUCCGCUGAGUAUUAUAAUUAUAGUCGUUUAUUAGCUACUCUUUUUGGUGAGAUUGUUAAUCUCUCUCUAAGAAGUUGGGUUGACAAACAUUUCAUCAUCAUUUAUCAAGGUGGUAGCAUUGGCAUCCCAUUUGAAGGACUAUACUCAAAGGAUGGCAAGUGUUGAGUUGCUUGUUGCUGGUAAAUUCCAUUGUUUUAAACUUAACUGUCAACUGUCAAAUUAAAAUUUUGUACUCAGUCAAGUGACUAUAUGUUGUUAAGUAUGCAGGAAUUAGUUAGUUGACACUUUAUGUUCGUGUGUUAUAUUUGUGUUGUCUUUUCCUCAUGUAAAUAGCUAGUGAUAUCAGUGUAAAAUUAGAUAAAUUCUAAAAGUCAAUACACACGAGAAAACGUCGAAUGUUUUAAGAAUUAUUUUCAUUCCAUCACGUGGUUUAUUUUCCUCAUAUCGUAGUUUAAUUCUUAUCUAUAAUCUGUGGUUUACCUCCAAUCAAUCUGUCAAUGAGUUUCAUAUGUUUUUGUGGGUGUGUGGGAAUCUUUCAUUAAGAUGUUUAUAUUGAAUACUAAUUCUGUUUCUCUUUCUUCCUAAAAGUUAGCAUAGAUUGUGAAGGCUCUUUAUUUGCUCAAGGUUAGCGACUAAAGCAUAUCAUUCUUGUCAUUGAAGGAAUUCUUGGUAACCCAUUUGAAAAUCUUUGUUUUUCAAAGUUCAUGGCUUGGGAGGAUCAUAUGUCGCAAAAGUUUGGGAGGGUAAGUGUAACUCAUCAGUUUUUGCUCGUUCUGGAUCAUGAAAUCUUACUUCGAAAUCUCUCCUUGAUUCAUGUCAUUGAAAUGUCAUUAAACUUGUGAAUAUUUAGGCUUAUUUUUCCUACUAAUGAAGGUUAGAGGAGUAUCAAAAUUGCUGAAAAUUCUUUGGCAGUUUCUUUCGAAAUCCAGAUGGUUGUUUCCUAUACAGGAAAGGCGGAUCAAAAUUGCAAGAUGACCAAAAUGCCGGCCCCCUUGAAUUCCUCCUAGUUGAAGGGAACAAGAUGAAUCUGUCCAUCAGACUCAAACCAUCAUCAUUCAUCUUCCGUCAAAGAGAACAAAUCGGUAAUCCUAGUUCACCGCACACCUACUCUACACUUUCAAUUUCCGUCAAUGUGAAAAUCUGUACCGUUGAGAAAGGUCCAAACCCCUCUUUGAUGUAGCACAAAUUUGCUCAAAUCAUCUUUGGUUGAUGUUCAAACCCUAAUUUACAUCGGUAAAACUAGACCUUUCUUUGGUGCAAAAUGAUGCCUUGCAGCAUACUAAACACAAAUGCCAGCAAAAUUGCAUUGUACAACUGUUAUGGUGCAAAUGCUAAUUGUCCAUUGUGUGUUGUAUAUUUUUGGAUGACAAAUUAUUAUACCCUUAUCCAUUUGGGAAAUAGGGUCGUGCCCAUCGACUACAA